UACAGAGGGGGCAAGCGUUGUUCGGAAUUAUUGGGCGUAAAGGGCGCGUAGGCGGCCCGCUAAGUCGAACGUGAAAUCCCUGGGCUCAACCCAGGAACUGCGUCCGAUACUGGCAGGCUUGAAUCCGGGAGAGGGAUGCGGAAUUCCAGGUGUAGCGGUGAAAUGCGUAGAUAUCUGGAGGAACACCGGUGGCGAAGGCGGCAUCCUGGACCGGUAUUGACGCUGAGGCGCGAAAGCCAGGGGAGCAAACGGG
rnacentral:rRNA from 1 species